GUGCCAGCCGCCGCGGUAAUACAGAGGCCUCGAGCGUUAGGCGGAAUCACUGGGCUUAAAGCGUGUGUAGGUGGAGUUCUAAGUACCUUGUGAAAUCCCACGGCUCAACCGUGGAACUGCUGGGUAUACUGGUUCUCUUGAGGUACCUAGGGGCGAGCGGAACAAGUGGUGGAGCGGUGAAAUGCGUAGAUAUCACUUGGAACGCCAACGGUGAAAACAGCUCGCUGGGGGUAUCCUGACACUGAGACACGAAAGCCAGGGGAGCAAACGGGAUUAGAUACCCCCGUAGUCC
rnacentral:rRNA from 1 species